AUUGAACGCUGGCGGCAUGCCUUACACAUGCAAGUCGAACGGUAACGGGUCCUUCGGGAUGCCGACGAGUGGCGAACGGGUGAGUAAUAUAUCGGAACGUGCCCAGUAGUGGGGGAUAACUGUUCGAAAGAGCAGCUAAUACCGCAUACGACCUGAGGGUGAAAGGGGGGGAUCGCAAGACCUCUCGCUAUUGGAGCGGCCGAUAUCAGAUUAGCUAGUUGGUGGGGUAAAGGCCUACCAAGGCAACGAUCUGUAGUUGGUCUGAGAGGACGACCAGCCACACUGGGACUGAGACACGGCCCAGACUCCUACGGGAGGCAGCAGUGGGGAAUUUUGGACAAUGGGCGCAAGCCUGAUCCAGCAAUGCCGCGUGCAGGAAGAAGGCCUUCGGGUUGUAAACUGCUUUUGUCAGGGAAGAAAUCUUCUGGGCUAAUACCCCGGGAGGAUGGCGGUACCUGAAGAAUAAGCACCGGCUAACUACGUGCCAGCAGCCGCCGUAA
rnacentral:rRNA from 1 species